rnacentral:rRNA from 1 species
GGGCCCGCACAAGCGGCGGAGCAUGCGGAUUAAUUCGAUGCAACGCGAAGAACCUUACCAAGGCUUGACAUGCACUGGAAGUCAUCAGAGAUGGUGGUGCCUUCGGGCUGGUGCACAGGUGGUGCAUGGUUGUCGUCAGCUCGUGUCGUGAGAUGUUGGGUUAAGUCCCGCAACGAGCGCAACCCUCGUCCUAUGUUGCCAGCACGUUAUGGUGGGGACUCAUAGGAGACUGCCGGGGUCAACUCGGAGGAAGGUGGGGACGACGUCAAAUCAUCAUGCCCCUUAUGUCUUGGGCUUCACGCAUGCUACAAUGGCCGGUACAGACCGCUGCGAUACCGUGAGGUGGAGCGAAUCGGAAAAAGCCGGGUCUCAGUUCGGAUCGGGGUCUGCAACUCGACCCCGUGAAGUUGGAGUCGCUAGUAAUCGCAGAUCAGCAACGCUG